AUCCAGACUCCUACGGGAGGCAGCAGUGGGGAAUAUUGGGCAAUGGGCGCAAGCCUGACCCAGCAACGCCGCGUGAAGGAAGAAGGCUUUCGGGUUGUAAACUUCUUUUCUCAGGGAAGAAGGAGGACGGUACCUGACUAAGAAGCCCCGGCUAACUACGUGCCAGCAGCCGCGGUAAUACGUAGGGGGCAAGCGUUAUCCGGAUUUACUGGGUGUAAAGGGGGCGCAGACGGCAGCGCAAGCCAGGAGUGAAAGCCCGGGGCCCAACCCCGGGACUGCUCUUGGAACUGCGCGGCUGGAGUGCAGGAGGGGCAGGCGGAAUUCCUGGUGUAGCGGUGAAAUGCGUAGAUAUCAGGAGGAACACCGGUGGCGAAGGCGGCCUGCUGGACUGCGACUGACGUUGAGGCCCGAAAGCGUGGGGAGCAAACAGGAUUAGAUACCCCCGUACAA
rnacentral:rRNA from 1 species